UUUGAUUUCAUUUUCUCUCUUCCUUGGGAGGUAGAGAGAAAGAGAAAGAGAAAGAGAGAGAGAGAACAUAGAGAGAAUAAUAGAACGUUAGUAGUCGGUCGAAGGCGAGAAUCGAUCUACUGUGCGAUUAGGCGAAUCGGCGAAUGGAGAACUCCUUUGUCGUUUAUCGUCGUAGAGGAGGAAAGUGUUGCGGCCGUCUCGUCACCGCUCGAUAUCGAGAGAAAAACGGAGAGUAUAUUUCCUGUUGGUAGAUAGAAAAAGGAGAAGAAGAAGAAGAUUUGAAAGGGUAGAUAAAGAGACAAAGGGGGAAGAUAUAUAUCGACACUAUCAUUGAUUUAAAUCGUGACAGUUUUCGUCUUUUUUUAAACCAAUAUUCUAUCACCACCAUUGCCAACAUUACCACCAUCACCACCCCACUACUACUACACAACUAUUAAACAGCUACUAGUAUUCUUUACAAGAGUAACAACACGAAGGGGUGGGUAGGGACAAGGGAAGAAUGGAACGCUUCAGAGUAACACCGGCUAAUAACACAACGCAAUAUAUUCAACCCUUGCAAAGAUCUUCUAUUCAAGAAUAUGAUCAAGCACCCAAUGGCACCCAAGUGGAACACCUUGUCGCCAUAUCGACCAAUGCCUGUGAGUAAUUUCCCACAAGGGAAAACUUUAUAUUCCCGCGAUUAUGCUAUUUGUACUUGUUCCAAUUCGACCCUUUUUGCCGAUUUAUCCAAUUUCCUCUUCCCCUUCCUCCGCCCCAUCUGUGUGUUUUUGAUCUAUUUAUAACGCAUGUAUAUAGGUACGCCCAUUACCAUAGAUACAAA
rnacentral:lncRNA from 1 species